rnacentral:rRNA from 1 species
CACGUAGGCGGAUUUUUAAGUCAGGGGUGAAAUCCCGGGGCUCAACCCCGGAACUGCCUUUGAUACUGGAAGUCUUGAGUAUGGUAGAGGUGAGUGGAAUUCCGAGUGUAGAGGUGAAAUUCGUAGAUAUUCGGAGGAACACCAGUGGCGAAGGCGGCUUACUGGUCCAUUACUGACGCUGAGGUGCGAAAGCGUGGGGAGCAAACA